AUUUAUAUAGUUUAACAAAAACAUUACAUUUUCAUUGUAAAAUUAAAUUUAUUUUUUAUAAAU
rnacentral:tRNA from 1 species